AACUCUGGUGGCCUCUGACUAUGGUGCGAUACCUUUACCGCGGUCGCUCGCCGGCUCGCUCGGUCCCGGCUCUGUGGAAAUAGUGGGGUGAGAACUACAACAAAGUUCCCAGUGGGUUCGGCCCCAACAUCACCGACUUUUCCACUAGGACUAACUCAGGCAUAAUAGAAAGGAUAAGCUGAAUAUAGUAACCAAUCUACAACAUGAUGCUAAUAUGCC
rnacentral:lncRNA from 1 species